rnacentral:lncRNA from 1 species
GAAUGUGUCUUCAGAGGUGAAAAGGGUGUUUAAAUGUCUGCCUGCCUUCUGCAUAAACACCUUAACAUGGCUCAAGAUCCGGCUCCAGAACAUCUUUCUUGCCACUCCCUCUGCCCCGUCACAGCUCCUGAAAGAGGCCAUUCAUCCUUCUAUUCACCCAGGCCAUCACCAAUGCUUAUUGGGCGUGCCUCGUCUUAGGCACUGAGACGAAGAGCUGAUGAAGACAGAGUUCCUCCCUCUGAACUCUUCACCGGCCUUCAGUGCUCUCCAGGUGGAGCGGGAUUCUCCAGGUUCAUUCCUCAGCCCUACCAGUCUCCCAGCCUCUGCAGAUGGGAGGGACUUGGCAGUGAGCACGUGGUAGUUGUAGGGCUGCUGUCUGGGCCAUCUUUACAUCCCUGGAGCUUCGCUUGGUGCCUGUCAUGGGGCAGGCAUGCAGGAAAUGUUUGUCGAAUAAGUGAGUAAACGGCUGAGUGAAGCAUUCUCCAUACUCUCCCUUGGCAGUCCAAUGUGAGAGCUGUACACAUUCAUUUUUUUUUCUUCACAUCACCAUUGGAGAGAGAAGCAGCAGACACAGCUGAGCUCCUGGCUUGGUGAAGGGCAUGCCAAGGGGAUGUGGGUGCUUGGAUGUUUGCCAACUGUUUUUCACUUUUGUGAGAAUCAUUAUUUACCUAUUGCUUGAUUCAGAAUCCCAGACCUAGAAGGACUUUAGAAACUUGAAGUUCAACUUUUUUACUUUAUAAGAUGAAUGACAGAGUCAAAGUGAGGAAACUCCUUGAUGAAGGACAAAGCCAGGACUUGAAUCCCAGUAUCCUACUCGCUCCUAAUUAGGUAAAGACAAUCUUUUUUCCUCAUAUUAUUUCUUUCAUCUAUGGGUGUGUGCUGUCUCACCCAACUUUUCCCAAAUCCUGCACCUUCUGGGAUUGCUGGAGAUGACAGCAGCAUCUUUUUCCUUCCUCCUUCAACUUUGCACUGUUCUCUCUUUUCUGCAUAAUGAGUCUGGGGAUAAAACACUCUGGAAACCCAAGGAAACUGGACAGAGUCCUCUACAUCCAUGGGCCACACAUGUGGCUGAAGAGAGAUGCUAUCCUGUCUCUGCCUGGAAAGGAGACCCAGCCACACACAGAGAAAUGGUCUAGCCGAGGGCUUCUGUAAAUGUUGCGAUUGGAUCCAUAGUACCUGAUGAGGGCUUUCUCAAUCCCGUAAUUGGCAAAGCCCCAACUGUGACCAGCUGACACGGUGGAGCGUGUCAGCCAGCAGAGUCCCCUGGCUCAUUACCAAUCUAUGGGAUAACGAUGACCACCAUAGUCAUAAUCAUUAUCACCUUAGGCAUGGAUGACAAAGGCACCCUAGGGACUUCUGCUUGAAAUGAGCUGCUUCUUAGCCAAACCCUAAUCUCCAGAGUGACUUUCUACAGAACUGCAGGAUCAUGAAACUGAAAAGGGCCCAUGGAGAUCAUCAGUUCUGGCUUCCCGCCUUCAGGCAGGUCUAACCUUUAUAGAAUAGUUGCUGUGGAGGAAAUUGAACCAAACUUACUUUUAUAUGUUAUUCUUGUGAUAGUAUCUCUGUUGAGCAUUCGAUUAAGAAAUGGGUUUGAUGAAUCAGAAACCUGGAGGAGAAAAGAAAAUAUUAAUGACUGGGCAUCACUCUUGCAGGACAAACAUCUCCCCGUGACAUUCACUUAUUCAUUCAUAGUUACUGAGUAUCUACCAUGAGCCAAACACAAUGACAGCUGCAAAUUCAGAGAGCAAAGCCAGAGUCCCUAUUCUCAAGGACAGCCCAGUCUAGAGAGGAAGACAGAUCCUCUUUUCUUGCCCCUGCUGGGAAGCUAUCUCUGGUUCUAGAGCAGAAGGCCAUCACAGAAACUCAGCCAAACAGUAAAUUGGAGGUGAGGUUUUCACCAGGACCAUGAAGACUUCACUUCUUCAAUCGGGUAACUUCCCAAAGAAGUAUUUUCCUACUUUAGAGAUGUGGAAGGAUUGGGAGCUGCUACUCAAGAUGAUCUUACACAUGCACUGAAUGGUUUGAGCAUCAUUCUUAUCAUUGAUUAAGGGGCUGGAUCAACGGCUGGACUUCAGGCAUGGUCAGAAGGAAAAAGGAGCCUAUAAUUGGCCAUUUCUUGGCUGGGUCAUGACCACAGCAAGGGCAUAGAUGUUUAAUAGGCAGUGUAAGGUUACAAUUCCAAAUAUGCAUUAACUGAACCCAUCAAUGAUAUCUAGCGGGGACAACGGGAGGACUUGAGGACAAUUGAUGAUGGUAAGUCAUUUGACAAAAAUAGGGCCUGAAAAAAUACAAAUUUUGGUUCUAUAUCUUUUGAAAAAUAUCACUCCUUAGUUGUCACUUAAGCCUAGGACCAAAGGCUAGCUAGCUUCCCUAAUCACUAGGCUUACUUACUAGAGCAAAGGGUAGAGUGUGGGUACAGGCAUCUGUUGUUAUCUUGCCCAGCAUAUAUUUAUUUAUCCCUCUUCCCUUGGUAACAGCACCCUUCCUUUCCUUUGAAUAACUGUGCCUACUGCAUUUCCAUAUGGCCCUGGGGGGCACCAAUCCUGGUACCCUGUUCCUGGGUAGGUUCAUGACCUUACAGGUUGGCCAGACUCAGUCUCCCAGGAAUCUGAAUUAUAGGUGGAGUGAAAUAUGAAUGGAAGGUGAAUGAAGACAAGUCAAUUUGAUGGCAGUUCUCAGAAAGAAUGAAUCGGAGAUCCCUGGUACUGACCUGAUGUUCCUGACCUUCUUGUGGUCCUUGAUUCUAUGAGUUACUUAGUGUUCUCUCAAAUAAACUAAUCCUUAAAUUAACUAGAGUGGCUUUUCCGUUUCUUAUAGUCAAAGAACACUGAGUGCUCCCUGCCAUGGUGCCCCUAAGGAGAGAAAGGCCAGUCUCUCUUUCUUUUGCUCUGUCUGUAUAUGUGUGCAUUUGUG